GCUCGCUUAACUCAGUUGGUUAGAGUGUGGUGCUAAUAACGCCAAAGUCACAGGUUCGACCCCUGUAUUGAGCA
rnacentral:tRNA from 1 species